AUAAUGAUAUGUUGAGAAGAUGCAUAGGUUGUUAGCUUGAAACUGAGACACACCUUUUCAGCCGACCGUAUACCAACAAAGACGAAUCAUUCACCACCACGGAAGUGCUUGACAUCCUCCAAAAUCCUGACUUCAGCAGAGUCACCACCCAGCCUCCCGUAAAACCAAGGGCAGGACAGGCCUUUCUCUAUCACUUCACUGAUGUCAACAAACGAGAUGACUGGAGAUGUGACCAAUACCACUUCCACCAUGAUGCCACACGAGAACAACCAAAAGCAGA